CCUUAUCACUGCAAGCGACCCUAUCCUGUCCCUCGUCACAAUCUUGCUGUCCUCAAAGCAGAAUUAUCCCGCCAAUGCCAACUCGGUAUCAUGAUCCGGGUCGGUGA
rnacentral:ribozyme from 1 species